AGUUCGGAUUGUAGUCUGCAACUCGACUACAUGAAGCUGGAAUCGCUAGUAAUCGCGAAUCAGAAUGUCGCGGUGAAUACGUUCCCGGGUCUUGUACACACCGCCCGUCACACCAUGGGAGUUGGGAAUGCCCGAAGCCGGUGACCUAACCGAAAGGGAGGAGCCGUCGAAGGCAGGCUUGAUAACUGGGGUGAAGUCGUAACAAGGUAGC
rnacentral:rRNA from 1 species